rnacentral:snRNA from 1 species
GCUCUUCUGGGCGAACUGG